rnacentral:rRNA from 1 species
UACAGAGGUCUCAAGCGUUGUUCGGAUUCAUUGGGCGUAAAGGGUGCGUAGGUGGCGGGGUAAGUCUGGUGUGAAAUCCUGGGGCUCAACCCUGGAACUGCAUUGGAUACUUCCUUGCUAGAGUACUGGAGAGGAAACUGGAAUUUACGGUGUAGCAGUGAAAUGCGUAGAGAUCGUAAGGAAGACCAGUGGCGAAGGCGAGUUUCUGGACAGUUACUGACGCUGAGGCACGAAGGCCAGGGGAGCAAACGGG